CUUUCAGCAAGAGAGGAAACAGGGGAAGGUGUAAAGAAGGCCUUUGUCCCAUGAGAGGAAGAGAGCAUCCCCCAAAGAGUGCUGUCCGAGGCCUGCUCUGGAGCAGUAUUGCGAGCGUUUCUUGUUCUGGACUAGUUUUCUGAAUAAAUCCAAAGUCGUAUGGGUAACCUGCUGAGCUUUGUCGAAGGAGUGUGCCCUGAGGAGACAAUUGUCCAGGACCACAGUUUCAACUGCUGGCAUAAUCCACACUUCUGGGCAAUGUGAUUUUCCUCAAGGCAAUGGACACAGUGGGAAUGUCAAUCCAUCAUCAGGAUGGAGUCUUUGCAUCUGAGACACUUCUUAAAGCAGACUAAACCAAGCAUACCCCAUCUCGGGGAACGCAAACACACCUACAGUGGAGCACCCAUUGGGACACUGUUCAAAGAAGAAGAAUGGUAGCUUUAUCUUGGUGCCAACCAGGGGCUAUUUUGGCCACCAGCACAACUCAGAAUAGCUUCAGGGCUGCAAGCCCUCCCAAAAGGGCUAUGUUCUGGUGUACAGAGAUCACAGCUGCACUCAGAGAGGAAACAGGGGUCCUUAGAGAAGGCUAUGCUGUCUCUGUCACCCGAGACCUCCUCUUACAUUAGGAGAAUUUCCCCAUAGCUGGUAAACUUUCUGGAAGCUUUGUGUUCCCAGAACAUCAAAAGCUAUCAGAGGCUGUGUCAAGGACCAAACAUGUUUAUUAUACAUAUAAACAAAUAGAAGAAACAUAAGGGAGAAAACAGGAGACUUCCCAAUUUUUGUCUGUUGCUAAAGAAUAUAUACACAUUGAUAAAUAUAUAGAGCACUUUUGGGUAACACACCACCAGUUAGAAGCUGGCCAUAUUGUAACAGGACUUGGAAGCUGAAAGGUUAUAGUGGUGGUGUACUUCUAUCAGUUGUAAACCUCUAGUGACUGACUGGCAAUGAUGGGCAUUUGAUCCUCCUAUCUUUAAAAAGAGAAGAUAAACAAUCACAUGGGCAUAGUUCAUUUAUUGGACAUAUGUGCCUCUGAGCUAUUCUGCAGUCAUACAUACACCAAUAUUAAACUGUUUCUUUCUGCUUUGCAAAUAUUAAACACUUCUUUUCACUAAAGACAACAGAGGAAAUAGUGCAAAACUUUCCAGUCUAGUCAUGAAGACAAGAGAUAAAAUGACAAAGUUUUACAUCUAAAUUCAGAUAAUGAAAGCUGCAGGAACACUAUGAAAUAAACAAUCUUGUUUUUACCAUUUGAUCCAUGUAUGAUACAAAGCACCAAAAGGCAUCCACUUCAUUUUCCAUGACAUACAAGACAGGAGAAAGCAAGUCACUCAUUCCCUGAACAUACCCUUAAAAAAAGAAACAAUUAAACAAUCUUAGACUGUUAACUUGUGAUUUACACAAUUAUGAACACUAAAUUAAAUUAUUUUUCUUCCUUUCAUCCAAGAUGCAAGCUUCAAAUUUGUUACUGAACACCAAUUGUUUGUACAAUUGUUCAGUGGUACAGCAGAUUGUGUAGGUAUGUUCCAAAUCAGCAUAACCAAAUAGUUUGAAAAUUCCAUUUCCUCUGUAUGACUUUAAAAAAAUACCUGCAUUUGAUCAUUAAAAGUUUACAUUCUGCAAACAUGGACAAAAACUGUAAACAUGUAUACCCUGGAUUUACCACAUCUUUAGAAAAUGUACACCCAUAUUUCUAUUUAAUUUAACUUUAUUAACCUUCAUAAAGUAUAUAAUUAUACACUAAAAGAUUUUUGAAAUGCAAUAAUACUCUAAAAAGUGAUCCUUGCUCACUAACCAUUAACUUUUUAUUUAAAAAAAUAUUCAGACAA